GACAACGCUGGCGGCGUGCCUAACACAUGCAAGUCGAGCGAGGAAGAGGAGAUAGCUUGCUAACUCCUGUUUCUAGCGGCGGACGGGUGAGUAACGCGUGAGCAACCUGCCUUUAUCAGGGGGAUAACGCAUCGAAAGAUGUGCUAAUACCGCGUAAGACCACAGCCUCACAUGGGGGCAGGGGUCAAAGGAGCAAUCCGGAUAAAGAUGGGCUCGCGUCCGAUUAGCUAGUUGGUGAGAUAACAGCCCACCAAGGCGACGAUCGGUAGCCGACCUGAGAGGGUGAUCGGCCACAUUGGAACUGAGAAACGGUCCAGACUCCUACGGGAGGCAGCAGUGGGGAAUAUUGGGCAAUGGGCGAAAGCCUGACCCAGCAACGCCGCGUGAGGGAAGAAGGGUUUCGGCUCGUAAACCUCUGUCCUAUGGGACGAAGGAAGUGACGGUACCAUAGGAGGAAGCCCCGGCUAACUACGUG
rnacentral:rRNA from 1 species